rnacentral:rRNA from 1 species
CUUUUGACAUGCCCUGGACGGAUACCAGAGAUGGUUUCUUCUCUUCGGAGCCGGGGACACAGGUGCUGCAUGGCUGUCGUCAGCUCGUGUCGUGAGAUGUUGGGUUAAGUCCCGCAACGAGCGCAACCCUCGCCUUUAGUUGCCAUCAUUUAGUUGGGCACUCUAGAGGGACUGCCGGUGAUAAGCCGGAGGAAGGUGGGGAUGACGUCAAGUCCUCAUGGCCCUUACAGGCUGGGCUACACACGUGCUACAAUGGCGGUGACAGUGGGAUGCGAAGGCGCGAGCCCUGGCAAAUCUCAAAAAACCGUCUCAGUUCGGAUUGCACUCUGCAACUCGGGUGCAUGAAGGUGGAAUCGCUAGUAAUCGCGGAUCAGAACGCUGCGGUGAAUACGUUCCCGGGCCUUGUACACACCGCCCGUCACACCAUGGGAGUUGGUUCUACCGAAGGCGUUUUCUUAACCGCAAGGAGAGAGGCGACCACGGUAGGGUCAGCGACUGGGGUGAAGUCGUAACAAGGUAGCCGUAGGGGAACCUGCGGCUGGAUCACCUCCUUUCUG